rnacentral:pre_miRNA from 1 species
UCUUGUGGAUGAGCAAAGAAAGUGGUUUCUUGAGAUGGAAUCUAAUUGUGGUGAAGGUGCUGUGAA